GUCUACAGCCAUGCCACCCUGAACAAGCCCUAUCCCAUCUGAUCUCAGAAGCUAAGCAGGGUAGGGCCUGGUUAAUACUUGGAUGAGAGACCACCUAGGAAGACCAGGUGCUGUAGGCG
rfam:Pteropus alecto contig101345, whole genome shotgun sequence.